rnacentral:lncRNA from 1 species
CAGAUUCUCACAUCUCCAGUGCCUGACCCCAGGACUUUACUUUCUCCAGGAACUAAGGCCUUUCUGCUCCUGUGUGGGCAAUGGGAUCAGACAGGAUCAGAGUCUGGGCUUGUCUGCUCUGGUCCUGCCCUGUGGGUUCUCCACUGAAGCUGAAUGUACUGCACUGACGUCCCAGGGUGCUGGAAGAAGAGGGGUCAGUAACUUGAUGGAAGCCCAGGUCUCGGAAGGCUUGUGAAGUCCAUGAUGAUCACAGGAGGGGCAAAGAGAGAAGUUGCAGAUUUGGCUGUGGUGACCUUCCAAGGCCUGGGAGUCAGAGAGUGACUGCUUCUUCUGAAGAUGAAGGGAAGCCGUAGACUCAUUCAGAUAAGACAGGGUCUCCUCUCUCUGACCCUCGGGCCCCAGUGUGAUCUAUGCCCUCUGGAGUCAAACUCUUAAUUGACUGCUUUGUGUCCUGGGAAGGCGUUGACCUCUUUUCCCUCAGAAGGAUCUGAGCAGCUGUCUCUGAGGCAUUUUUUUCCCCUUAGCUCCUCCUCCUCCCUUGAGGAGUUAGCAUAAACAGCAUCAUCUUGGAGGCCUUCCUUGAUGACUUACUUAGAGACAGGAAUCCUGGUGAUUCCUGUUAGAGGCACCUGCUAAUUGCCAUCACUGCAUUUCCC